GAUGAACGCUGGCGGCGUGCCUAAUACAUGCAAGUCGAGCGAACAGAUAAGGAGCUUGCUCCUUUGACGUUAGCGGCGGACGGGUGAGUAACACGUGGGUAACCUACCUAUAAGACUGGAAUAACUCCGGGAAACCGGGGCUAAUGCCGGAUAACAUUUAGAACCGCAUGGUUCUAAAGUGAAAGAUGGUUUUGCUAUCACUUAUAGAUGGACCCGCGCCGUAUUAGCUAGUUGGUAAGGUAACGGCUUACCAAGGCAACGAUACGUAGCCGACCUGAGAGGGUGAUCGGCCACACUGGAACUGAGACGCGGUCCAGACUCCUACGGGAGGCAGCAGUAGGGAAUCUUCCGCAAUGGGCGAAAGCCUGACGGAGCAACGCCGCGUGAGUGAUGAAGGUCUUCGGAUCGUAAAACUCUGUUAUUAGGGAAGAACAAAUGUGUAAGUAACUGUGCACGCCUUGACGGUACCUAAUCAGAAAGCCACGGCUAACUACGUG
rnacentral:rRNA from 1 species